rnacentral:rRNA from 1 species
CGCCGCCGGCUACGGCGCACGGGUGAGUAACACGUAUGCAACCUGGCCGUGACAGAUGGAUAACCGGGAGAAAUCCCGCCUAAUACAACAUAAUGCCGGGAGGGGACAUCCCCUGCCGGUCAAAGGGGGCGACCCCGGUCACGGAUGGGCAUGCGGCGCAUUAGGUAGUUGGUGGGGCAACGGCCCACCAAGCCGACGAUGCGUAGGGGUUCUGAGAGGAAGGUCCCCCACAUUGGAACUGAGACACGGUCCAAACUCCUACGGGAGGCAGCAG